UACGUAGGGUGCAAGCGUUGUCCGGAAUUAUUGGGCGUAAAGAGCUCGUAGGCGGCUUGUCGCGUCGGCUGUGAAAACCUGGGGCUCAACCCCGGGCCUGCAGCCGAUACGGGCAGACUUGAGUUCGGCAGGGGAGACUGGAAUUCCUGGUGUAGCGGUGAAAUGCGCAGAUAUCAGGAGGAACACCGGUGGCGAAGGCGGGUCUCUGGGCCGAUACUGACGCUGAGGAGCGAAAGCGUGGGGAGCGAACAGG
rnacentral:rRNA from 1 species